rnacentral:rRNA from 1 species
UACGGGGGGAGCAAGCGUUGUUCGGAAUUACUGGGCGUAAAGGGCUCGUAGGCGGCCAACUAAGUCAGACGUGAAAUCCCUCGGCUUAACCGGGGAACUGCGUCUGAUACUGGAUGGCUUGAGUUUGGGAGAGGGAUGCGGAAUUCCAGGUGUAGCGGUGAAAUGCGUAGAUAUCUGGAGGAACACCGGUGGCGAAGGCGGCUUUCUGGGCCUUACCUGACGCUGAGGAGCGAAAGCUGGGGGAGCGAACAGG